CCUACGGGCGGCUGCAGUGGGGAAUAUUGGACAAUGGGGGGAACCCUGAUCCAGCCAUGCCGCGUGUGUGAAGAAGGCCCUCGGGUUGUAAAGCACUUUCAGUGAGGAAGAACGCCUGGUGGUUAAUACCCAUCAGGAAAGACAUCACUCACAGAAGAAGCACCGGCUAACUCCGUGCCAGCAGCCGCGGUAAUACGGAGGGUGCGAGCGUUAAUCGGAAUUACUGGGCGUAAAGCGCGCGUAGGUGGCUUGAUAAGCCGGUUGUGAAAGCCCCGGGCUCAACCUGGGAACGGCAUCCGGAACUGUCAAGCUAGAGUGCAGGAGAGGAAGGUAGAAUUCCCGGUGUAGCGGUGAAAUGCGUAGAGAUCGGGAGGAAUACCAGUGGCGAAGGCGGCCUUCUGGACUGACACUGACACUGAGGUGCGAAAGCGUGGGUAGCAAACAGGAUUAGAUACCCCAGUAGUC
rnacentral:rRNA from 1 species